UGUCCAGUAGCACCUUAAAGACCAACUAAGUUUGUUCUUGGUAUAAGGUUUUGUGAAAGUGUGCAUGCGCACGAAAGCUUAUACCAAGAACAAACUUAGUUGGUCUCUAAGGUGCUACUGGACA